GGGGAAGAAGCUUUUGAGAAGUGAUAUAUUUUUGCUAUAUUGAGGCACUAAGUGAGUUUUUGCCUU
rnacentral:tRNA from 1 species